UUUGUGUGUGUGUGUGUGUGUGUGUGUGUGUGUGUGCGCGCACACACACACACACACACACACAAUCAUAAG